rnacentral:rRNA from 1 species
CCUACGGGAGGCUGCAGUGGGGAAUAUUGCACAAUGGGGGAAACCCUGAUGCAGCGACGCCGCGUGAGUGAAGAAGUAUUUCGGUACGUAAAGCUCUAUCAGCAGGGAAGAAAAAAAGUCCUUUGGACUUUGGACGGUACCUGACCAAGAAGCCCCGGCUAACUACGUGCCAGCAGCCGCGGUAAUACGUAGGGGGCAAGCGUUAUCCGGAGUUACGGGGUGUAAAGGGAGCGUAGACGGUGCGCCAAGGCUGGAGUGAAAUGCCGCAGCUUAACUGCGGAACUGCUUUGGAAACUGGCGAACUAGAGUGCGGGAGGGGUAAGCGGAAUUCCUAGUGUAGCGGUGAAAUGCGUAGAUAUUAGGAGGAACACCGGUGGCGAAGGCGGCUUACUGGACCGUAACUGACGUUGAGGCUCGAAAGCGUGGGGAGCAAACAGGAUUAGAUACCCCUGUAGUC